CUACUAAAGUACAAAAAUUAGCUGGGCGUGGUGGCUCAUGCCUGUAGUCCCAAGUACUAGGGAGGCUGAGGCAGAGGAAUCACUUGAACUCGGGAGGCGGAGAUUGCAGUGAGCCGAGACCGCGUCACUGCACACCAGCCUGGGUGACACAGCAAGACUCUGUCUCAAAAAACAAACAAACAAGGAAAACUACUUGGUGGGUCCAAUGUUUGGAUGUUUUGCUUUUUCAGAGUGUAUGGACAGAAACUGCAAGGAAGAUGAGAAGGAAGCAAAUAAGCACAAACAAGUACAGGCAUACAAAAGCUCCACACAUGAUUUGAUCCCUGCUGAUUUCAUUUCACACCUGAAGUAUUGAGCUUGGCUUUCUACACAAGCUGUUGCACAGGUACGCAGUAUCUGACAGUGGGUUAAACAUGGGUGGGGUCUGAGAACUGGGGUGAAUCAAUGGCCUCUCUUCUUAUUAGCUAGGUGACCUUGAGUAGUUCAUGACUCUCACCAGCUCCAUUUCCACGAUGUGGUCCCACCUCAUAGCAUUGCUGAAAACAUUAAAUGACACUGAUGCCCGCUGUGCCCUUAUCACAGUGCUGGGCACAUAGGCACACAGGCAUGCUCCACGAAUGUGAGUUUGUUAUGUUAAUAAUUAAUAUUUGGCAGAACUAAAUGCAUGGCUUAAUUAUUCUUUUAACUCAGGUCAUAAUCUAACCCACAGAUGAUGAAGGUGGUAAUGAUAAAAACAGCCAGCAUUUAUUAAUCACCUGCCAUGUGCCUGCCAGACACUCUUUCAAGCCCUUUACAUAUGGAGUAAUGAAAGUCCAGGGUGUUUCGGUAGCUUUCCGGAUCACCUUGCUAGGCAGUGGCAGCACUUGGAUUCGAACCCACGUGGUCUGAGCCCAGAGCCUGACUGGCCUUUUGGUCAUGCUACCAUUCCAGGGAGACCUGUCCCGUGGCCUGACUAGGCACAGAAGGGCCAGCAGAUCCACUUCUGCUCCUGAUUUCCUUACGAUCAGUGAGGCGCCCUGGACAUUCUCCUUAAGAUUAAAUGACACUGACUAAUAUCUUGGAGAUGCCAGCCAAGAAAAGUCUUGGCUUUCGAUGGAAUCUGGGAGGAGAGGUGGAGGAGGCAAGUUGAUUCUUUAGCCGGGUGAGUUGAGGUAAGUCUUCUGGGCAUUUCUCCAGCAUCGUGGUUGGGGCAAUCCCUGCGACUUCUAGUGAUUGCUUAGAAUGAUUCACCUUGGCACUGUCUUCCGGACACAGGGUGAGUACCAGGGUGCUCACCUUUACUGAGUAUGUCAUUGCCAUGAUUAGAACAGGAACUACCGUACUUUCUGGGAUGUCGGAAAAUGCAGAUACAGAGCUCAGAGCAAGCCACCUUAAGGAAGAGGGUGACAAUUUCGGGAGCUGAUAUUUGAAAAAGUACAGGACAAGUAGGAGUUAGGGAAAAUAGGUAAUACCGAAUAUCCUAGACAUCAGAGAACGAAGUUAUCACAAAUGCCCAGGAAAGACUAAAUCCUGGAAGAGGUUAAAAAUCCGCUUCCAAAAAUCCGCCUAGAAAGAGAAGUGAACACCGUGAUUAAAAUUCCAGAUCUGUGAUGAGACCUGAAGCGGGAAGACUCAAGGAUGAAGUGGGUAGCUAGGCUCAGUGACCUCACAUAUCCUUCCCAACUCAGGUUCUCUGAUUCCCUCAGCAAUUCACAUCACGUAAGCUGUAGGGAUUUCCCUUGCUCCAUAUAGCAGCUGCUCCAUUUUACCCGAAGGAAAAAUAUUUCAGAAUAGUUUCUAAACAAACUGCAUCCUGCCUCCCCUCCAGUCCUAUUGUUUGAGGAAUUCUUUCAUUUCUCUUCUUCAACCACUCCUCUCUGCCUCCUUUUCUCUUUUCUCCCUUCAUUUUCCUACUCCCUCCUUCCUCCUCUCCUUCUUCUUCUUCCUCUUCCUCCCUCUUCCUGCUUUCCUUCUACAUUCUCUGCUUAAACUUCUGACUACUAGAAUAAUUUCCAAUAGGAUACAAAGAAAAUGACCUGGCUUCGAAGAUUUCCAUUCUAUCUGAUACCACCUUCACACUGCACAGUUGGCAGUGCCCAGGGAACUGAAGUAAAGAUAUGGGUCUUCUGCUGAAUGAAAGGCUAAAUUAAAAAAAAAUUUUUUUUGGCUGUCAUACUUUCAGUUUAAAUCUCGCAGUUGUAUUUUCAUAAAAUAAAAAAUUAAAGUGAAUUGCUUAUGCAUUGCAGGGUGAUUAGGCUGUCCUUGAGGUUUGAGAAAAACAAAGUAUAAUUUAGUUCAAGCUCAUGUUCUGAUUCCAUAGUGGGAAGGCUGCAAAUUUCCAUUGCACAAUAAUAACAUUUCAGCCAUGGCUUCUGAACCUGGGGGCGCUGUUGCUAUAAAUAUUAUUUCCAUUGGAUUAUGUUGUGUUGAGGCCUGGAUUAUGUUAAUAUUUUAAAAGUCUUAUCUCAGCUCUUACAUGUUUUAAAUACCUGGAAGAGUGUAAUGGGGAAGCCAAGGUUCUGUAGACUAAAUGAACUGCUUAAAACGAGCUGUGCUUUCUCCCUGGUUGGUUACAGUGCAGAUUGGGAGAGUUAGCAACUCUUGUCUCAGAAGCAAUCACACAGAGCCAGCAGGAGCCUGCAGGAAUGGGAGAAAACCUAAGCAGACAAUGGAAACUCGGGAGGAGCAGAACUCACAGAGGCCAAGGACAGAGCGAAAUAAAUCAGUGGCAGAAGAAAUAGGGCAAAGUUGAUUUUCUACCCUCUUAAUCCCUUCUUACAUAGCCCAAAUAUCCUAUUCAGUACUUCAUUCAUUCAUUCAUGCCACCCCCAUCCUAUUAUCAGGAGAGAUUUAGAGACAAUGGAACCUCAAAAACAAAAGCAACAGCGUGAAUGAAAUGAACGUGGGGAACACGCAGAAUGCAACCGAAGGCACGAAGCCAAUAGGAAGUUGGACGGUGGGAUGUUGGUGGAGGGGUUUUUUUCAGUUUGACACAAUCAAAUUUCCUAUUUCGUGAACUUUGGUUCUUGUUGGCCUAAAUGCAUUUUUGAUGCUUGCUAAAAAAAAGUAGGAUAAAUCCAACCACUUUGUUUAUUUUCGUAUUCAUUUCAACGGAAAUAAUGGUGGGAUUAGGGAAUGCAAAGAGAGGGAGCUCUGUAGGUGUGACGAUGAAGAGAGUUAACAGAGAAUGGAAAUCCGAUGGGAAAUGCAACAGAAGAUGGAUCCAGGGAAGCGGAAAAGGAGAAGAGGAAGCACCAGAGACAGCCAUGGGGUGCCAUGUCGGGGAGGACCCCUGGCCUGGGCUUCCCCAGCAGCCCAGGUGAUGGGCAGCAGAAGGUUCCAGACUCCACUAGAGGCUCUGUUUAGCUUCUGUCACCUCAAGAGUCUUAUCAGUUUCUACCUAGGUUUCCAACACAGUAGAUGUUCCAUAAAUGCUUGUUACACUCAACCAAACUAAACCACUCAGGUCUAAAAGCAGUGAGUAGAAGAACUGCAAGGAAAAAAACCAUACAUUGUGUGAAAUAGAUAAUAAAAAAUAAUAGUAAGAGACAAAUCAUAAAGGACAAAAAGAAGGGCGCCUUUCAGAUGGUGUAUGGGUCUUUCCUUCUAGAGUGGAGAAACUGCCUCCAUCGCGGGCUUCCAUGGCACCGUGCCCUAUCUUCUCCACAGUUCAUAGAAACCUGGAUUGUAAGUAACCACUGGGUCAUCUUCUUUCCGACUGGACUUGAAACUUUGAGCAGAUGGCGAGCGUGUCUGUUUUGUUCACUGUUGCACAGUGAGUCUAGCACGAUGCCUGGCUGAAAAUAGUUGCUCCAUAUAUGUUAUGUUGAAUGAAUGAGAAAACGAGGCAAACUUAGAAGGGGCUCAUGAAGAAAUAGGGGCAAUUUAAAAAAAUUACUAAGGGCAAAAAAAGAUGUUGAGACAUUUUGAAUGAAGGAAUUUAACUUGAAAUUUUUUUUUAAAAGCUCUGCAGUGAAAAAAGGAAAGAAUGUUAUCAAUAAUAACAAAAAAUAAUAAAGAUGUGUGUAUAAUCUCCUGGCAUUUU
rnacentral:lncRNA from 10 species